rnacentral:sRNA from 1 species
GUAGAUAGUUCAGUAGCAAGCAAAAGCCAUGCCUGCGUCGAAUGCCAGCGAUGAGUUUGAUGAUGAUGUCUUCAUCGUCGAUAUCGACGGUAUCCAAGCUCAUGGGGUGGGAGCUGCAGAUAUUACGAAACUGAAAGCAAAUGGAUUUUAUACUGUUGCUUCUGUUCAUGGAGCCACGAGAAAGACGUUGUUGAAAAUCAGGGGCUUCAGUGAAGUCAAGGUAGAGAAAAUUAAAGAGGCUAUUCAGAAAUGCAAGCCCUCAGCUUCUGGUUUCAUAACUGCAAUGGAACUAGGCCACC